CGCCAUGAUGCAUGUGGCCGCGUCCAACUUCGUCGAAGAUGCUCGAAGAAUCCGGGGGAAGAAGUGAUAUGAGCCAUCGCGAGUAUUUGGAUUAUGUCAUCACUGCUUGGAAAUGUCAGUUUUCCAAUUUUACUUCGCUGCAGGUUUUGCUUUCCGCAAUUCCGCUCCGCUUAGCGCCUCCACACCGCAACUGAACACGCAGCCAUGCAAGCAGGUCACAUAAUGGGAAACUUUAUUAUUUCAAUGAUCAUAAUAACACUUCAUUGUUUCAUAGCGAAGUAAAAUUAUCGCAUAAUAUACGAGUAUAAAAUAACAAUAUUAUUCUAUCCUAUAAGUCUUUGCAAUCAAUAAUUGCAUAGACAUUGAUUCAAUACGUAGUAUAUUGUGUCUAAUGCUCGGUUUUGCAAACCAUGAUGCAUUGGUAAUAUCCACUUUUCAUUAGCCUAAAAUUAAUUAACUCCCGAUAUCUUACUUAGUUAUACAUGAUAAUAAGCACUGUUCAACAAUAUA
rnacentral:lncRNA from 1 species